AGGUAACGCCGUUGAGAAGUGGGAACGGCGGGAAGGUAACGCCGUGAGAAGUGGGAACAGCAGGAAGGUAACACCAGUGAGAAGUGGGAACAGAGGGAAGGGCAUGUGCACACCACCCUCGGGCGUCAUCCUGGAGACGCGGGAGCUCGGCUGCCAGGUUGCUGAUACGCUCCAUGUUCAGGGGCUGUCCCACCGGGAAAGGUGCCCGUGGGGGUGAGAAGCCCUCUUCUGAUCCUCCUGCUUUCCUGGGGGGUGAAGCUGCUUUCCCAGAAAACAUCAGGCCCCCCUCCCGGCUGCCGGACCCCACAGUGUGGUCUUUGUCCCCAGGGGCAGUGCUUUCUGCCCCUUUUGUUCUCUGCUGAUCCCCAGAGCCUGGCCCUGCACAGGUCGUUGGUGAUGUCUGUGGAUUAGAGACCUGCUCCCCUGUGCCUCCACAGGGGAGGGCCACACGUGCAUACACAUGCACACUCAGACACACGGUCACGUACAUGAUCAUGCUUACAUGUCACACACUAUACACACGCACUCUUGUGUACACAUGGCACACACUUACCCUAACGCAGCCACACAGUUCACACACACCCACCCCCUCCUGCUGACACUCUCACAGUCACACACAUGCACUCACCACACCCUCCCCUAGUGGGCUCUGGGGUUCCACCAACCGUAGCUGGGUGGCCACCCCGUGGCCUUCACCACUGCGUGGCCCAACACACAAAGGUGGCCUGGGGCCUCUCCCGACUCUAGGAUCAGUUCUUCCUGGUUCCCUGGGCCAACAUUCUCCUGCGGGCCCAGUCUCAGUCAGCCCUCACACGUGGGGAUUCCAGCUCAGCCCCCUUUCCCAGACUCCACACUUGGAUUCUCAAGCCGUAGGUAAAGUAGCCGUGCUGGCACCGACUGGCCCCAAAGUGGAGCUGAUGCCACAAAGCACUGCCGGGCCAGACACCAGCCAGGCAGGCCCCUGGGACAGCGGUGCAGGUCGGCUUCCAGCCGACUUUGGGGUCCCCAGGACCCUGCCUUUCUGGAGGGGUCACCAAGCCAGAGCUGGGCUCCACCUGGCCAUUUGUGAGAUGUGCAGCUUUGUGAGCUGGUGCUGCCCCUGGGGCAGUCUAAACAGCGGUGGUGGGAGGAUGUGCAAAUGCUUCCAACCAGGGGCUUCAUUUUCGCUUUUCCCUGGAGAGCCUGUUUGCCAGCACCCCGCUACCAGGGACCCUCCGUGCCUCCCCAACUCCACCUAACCCCUUCUCCAGCUCCCCUAGUGGGGGGCGGCACCUUGCUCUUCUGAGCGGAGCCGGGGAGAGCCAGGACCCCGCACAUCACCACGUCCCUCCUGCCCCCGGCUUCUGCUUGCCUGUCCCCAGGAGCUGGGAUGCCAGGUCGAUUUCAACCAAGUUCUCUUUUACGGACAUACACACCAGUGGGAUUUGAUUACUGGCCUCACCUGCGCUGGAAGAAGCUCUAUCUUUAACUUCUGUUCUGCUCAUUCUGCUCAUGUAUAUAUUCUGAGAUGUUUUAAACAACAAUUCACCCAUCUUCCUGGCUUUCACCUGAUGAAAUUACAAAUGUUCAGAAUUCUCACCACCUUCUGGUUAAGCAAGUGUCAUGGAUUGAACUGUGUCCCCCUGAAACUCUUAUGCUGGAGUCCUAGUCCCACGGCCUCAGAAUGUGGCCUUAUUUGGAGACAGGGUCUUCACAGAGGUGAUCUGUUUAACAGGAGGUCCCAGGGUGGGCCCUAAACCCCAUGGCUGGUGUCCGUAUAAGAUGGGCACAUUUGGACACCGAGACACAGACAAGAAGACAACCACAUACGGCCACGCGGGGUGCCCUCCAAGGAACCAACUCCGGCCGCACCUUGAUCUCGGCCUUCCCGCCUCCUUUCCCGCUGUUUAAGCCGCCCAUGAGAGUGCCCCGUGAUGGCAACGCCAGCGGGCGCAUAUACAGCGGGCCUCUGGGGUCCAGCCUGGGAGCCCAGACACAGACACCGUCUCUACCUGGCAAGAUGGGGUGACGAAAUGAGAAAUGAAUAGAUCUGGUCUCUGCUCCCGAGACCCCGCACAGGGCUCCAAAAGCCCUCGAAUUUCCUGGGUGAUGGCAGCAGAUUCUUCCGUUCAAAUGAGGUGAGGCUUGGUGGCUCCUGGAGGGGGGCCGGUCACCAGAGAGACCAGCCAGGAUUAGCACCUGCAGCUCUCAACCCUGCACCCACCCUCCUCCAGGGAUCAUCCACCAUCAUCCUUCAUGUCUGUGAUGGAGCCUCCAUAAGAAUGCCUGGACUAUGGGUCCCGAGCAUUUCCGGGUUGCUGAACACAUCCACGGGCCAGGAGGGUGGUGCCCCCCACUCCACGGACACAGAAGCUCCUGGGCUGGGGACCCUUUCCAACCCUGCCCUGUGCCCCGGCCCACCUGGCUGCCCAUCUGCGGCCUUUCUCAUCUCCUUUUCCUGCGUUCUGUGAUAAUUUUGUGUUGCACUCUUGAUAUUUAAGGCUAAUGUGUAACUAGAAAACUGAGUUUUAAUAUUUAAUGCCCUUGGAUUUGGGAAAUCUCUUACUACAUUAUGUUUGGAUAUACUUUCUCUGAGGGGAUAAAUAUUUUAUCGAGGCUGU
rnacentral:lncRNA from 1 species